UAGGGAAUCUUCCACAAUGGACGCAAGUCUGAUGGAGCAACGCCGCGUGAGUGAAGAAGGUUUUCGGAUCGUAAAGCUCUGUUGUUGGUGAAGAAGGAUAGAGGCAGUAACUGGUCUUUAUUUGACGGUAAUCAACCAGAAAGUCACGGCUAACUACGUGCCAGCAGCCGCGGUAAUACGUAGGUGGCAAGCGUUGUCCGGAUUUAUUGGGCGUAAAGCGAGCGCAGGCGGAAUGAUAAGUCUGAUGUGAAAGCCCACGGCUCAACCGUGGAACUGCAUCGGAAACGGUCAUUCUUGAGUGCAGAAGAGGAGAGUGGAAUUCCAUGUGUAGCGGUGGAAUGCGUAGAUAUAUGGAAGAGCACCAGUGGCGAAGGCGGCUCUCUGGUCUGCAACUGACGCUGAGGCUCGAAAGCAUGGGUAGCGAACAGG
rnacentral:rRNA from 1 species